UUGGCGGCGUGGUUAAGACAUGCAAGUCGAACGAGAGAAUUGCUAGCUUGCUAAUAAUUCUCUAGUGGCGCACGGGUGAGUAACACGUGAGUAACCUGCCCCCGAGAGCGGGAUAGCCCUGGGAAACUGGGAUUAAUACCGCAUAGUAUCGAAAGAUUAAAGCAGCAAUGCGCUUGGGGAUGGGCUCGCGGCCUAUUAGUUAGUUGGUGAGGUAACGGCUCACCAAGGCGAUGACGGGUAGCCGGUCUGAGAGGAUGUCCGGCCACACUGGAACUGAGACACGGUCCAGACACCUACGGGUGGCAGCAGUCGAGAAUCAUUCACAAUGGGGGAAACCCUGAUGGUGCGACGCCGCGUGGGGGAAUGAAGGUCUUCGGAUUGUAAACCCCUGUCAUGUGGGAGCAAAUUAAAAAGAUAGUACCACAAGAGGAAGAGACGGCUAACCCUGUGCCAGCAGCCGCGGUAAUACAGAGGUCUCAAGCGUUGUUCGGAAUCACUGGGCGUAAAGCGUGCGUAGGCUGUUUCGUAAGUCGUGUGUGAAAGGCGCGGGCUCAACCCGCGGACGGCACAUGAUACUGCGAGACUAGAGUAAUGGAGGGGGAACCGGAAUUCACGGUGUAGCA
rnacentral:rRNA from 1 species